GAUGAACGCUGGCGGCGUGCCUAAUACAUGCAAGUCGAGCGAACAGAUAAGGAGCUUGCUCCUUUGACGUUAGCGGCGGACGGGUGAGUAACACGUGGGUAACCUACCUAUAAGACUGGAAUAACUCCGGGAAACCGGGGCUAAUGCCGGAUAACAUUUAGAACCGCAUGGUUCUAAAGUGAAAGAUGGUUUUGCUAUCACUUAUAGAUGGACCCGCGCCGUAUUAGCUAGUUGGUAAGGUAACGGCUUACCAAGGCAACGAUACGUAGCCGACCUGAGAGAGUGAUAGGCCACACUGGAACUGAGACACGGUCCAGACUCCUACGGGAGGCAGCAGUAGGGAAUCUCCCGCAAUGGGCGAAAGCCUGACGGAGCAACGCCGCGUGAGUGAUGAAGGUCUUCGGAUCGUAAAACUCUGUUAUUAGGGAAGAACAAAUGUGUAAGUAACUGUGCACGUCUUGACGGUACCUAAUCAGAAAGCCACGGCUAACUACGUG
rnacentral:rRNA from 1 species